rnacentral:rRNA from 1 species
UACAGAGGUCUCAAGCGUUGUUCGGAUUCAUUGGGCGUAAAGGGUGUGUAGGUGGCGCCGUAAGUCAGGUGUGAAAUCCCGGGGCUCAACCCCGGAACUGCACUUGAUACUGCGGUGCUCGAGUACUGGAGAGGAGAUUGGAAUUUACGGUGUAGCAGUGAAAUGCGUAGAUAUCGUAAGGAAGACCAGUGGCGAAGGCGAAUCUCUGGACAGUUACUGACACUGAGGCACGAAGGCCAGGGGAGCAAACGGG